rnacentral:rRNA from 1 species
CAGUCGCCACGGUAAUACGUAGGUCCCGAGCGUUGUCCGGAUUUAUUGAGCGUAAAGCGAGCGCAGGCGGUUAGAUAAGUCUGAAGUUAAAGGCUGUGGCUUAACCAUAGUACGCUUUGGAAACUGUUUAACUUGAGUGCAAGAGGGGAGAGUGGAAUUCCAUGUGUAGCGGUGAAAUGCGUAGAUAUAUGGAGGAACACCGGUGGCGAAAGCGGCUCUCUGGCUUGUAACUGACGCUGAGGCUCGAAAGCGUGGGGAGCAAACAGGAUUAGAUACCCCAGUAGUCCCUGUCUCUUAUACC